UGCAGUCGAACGGAACAUUAUGAGUAGCAAUACAAGUGAUGUUUAGUGGCGAACGGGUGCGUAACACGUGGAUACAUUCCGGGAAGCGGGGGAUAGCCCAGGGAAACUUGGAUUAAUACCGCAUGUGAUCGAGAGAUCAAAGACGGGGACCGAAAGGCCUGUCACUUCCCGAUUGGUCCGCGGCCUAUCAGCUAGUUGGCGGGGUAAAAGCCCACCAAGGCUACGACGGGUAGCUGGUCUUAGAGGACGACCAGCCACACUGGAACUGAGACACGGUCCAGACACCUACGGGUGGCAGCAGUCGAGAAUCUUUCACAAUGGGGGCAACCCUGAUGGAGCGACGCCGCGUGGAGGAUAAGGUCUUCGGAUUGUAAACUCCUGUCAUGUGAGAACAAGGCUGCCGGGUUAAUAACCUUGCAGAUUGAUGGUACCACAAGAGGAAGAGACGGCUAACUCUGUGCCAGCAGCCGCGGUAAUACAGAGGUCUCAAGCGUUGUUCGGAAUCACUGGGCGUAAAGGGUGCGUAGGUGGCGUGGUAAGUCAGAUGUGAAAGCCCGGGGCUCAACCUCGGAAUUGCAUCCGAUACUGCCGUGCUAGAGUACUGAAGAGGUGACUAGAAUUCUCGGUGUAGCAGUGAAAUGCGUAGAUAUCGAGAGGAAUACCAACGGCGAAGGCAGGUCACUGGGCAGUUACUGACACUGAGGCACGAAGGCCAGGGGAGCAAACGGGAUUAGAUACCCCGGUAGUCCUGGCAGUAAACGGUGCACGUUUGGUGUGGGCGCAAUCGACCGCGUCCGCGCCGGAGCUAACGCGUUAAACGUGCCGCCUGGGAAGUACGGUCGCAAGAUUAAACUCAAAGAAAUUGACGGGGACCCGCACAAGCGGUGGAGUAUGUGGCUUAAUUCGAUGCAACGCGAAGAACCCUUACCUGGUCUUGACAUGCAUUGUGUCU
rnacentral:rRNA from 1 species